rnacentral:rRNA from 1 species
UAGGGAAUAUUGCACAAUGGGGGAAACCCUGAUGCAGCCAUGCCGCGUGUGUGAAGAAGGCCCUAGGGUUGUAAAGCACUUUCAGUAAGGAAGAAAAAGCAGGGUUAAUACCCCUGUCUUAUGACAUUACUUACAGAAGAAGCACCGGCUAACUCCGUGCCAGCAGCCGCGGUAAUACGGAGGGUGCGAACGUUAAUCGGAAUUACUGGGCGUAAAGCGCGCGUAGGCGGUUUAUUAAGUGGGAUGUGAAAGCCCCGGGCUUAACCUGGGAACUGCAUUCCAAACUGACAAACUAGAGUACGAGAGAGGGGGGUAGAAUUCAGAGUGUAGCGGUGAAAUGCGUAGAUAUUCUGAGGAAUACCAGUGGCGAAGGCGGCCCCCUGGCUUGAUACUGACGCUGAGGUGCGAAAGCGUGGGGAGCAAACAGGAUUAGAUACCCCCGUAGUCC